rnacentral:rRNA from 1 species
UACGUAGGGGGCAAGCGUUGUCCGGAUUUAUUGGGCGUAAAGAGCGUGUAGGCUGCCACACAGGUCUGCUGUGAAAACUCGAGGCUCAACCUCGAGCUGUCGGUGGAAACCGUGUGGCUAGAGUCCGGAAGAGGAGAGUGGAAUUCCCGGUGUAGCGUUGAAAUGCGCAGAUAUCGGGAAGAACACCCGUGGCGAAGGCGGCUCUCUGGGACGGUACUGACGCUGAGACGCGAAAGCGUGGGGAGCGAACAGG